AUUCCCUGCCCACAAUGAGUUUACAGUCUAGAGUCACAGCUUUUAUGUCUGUCUCCCCUUCUAGACUGUAAGCUUUUUGUGGGCAGGGAAU
rnacentral:pre_miRNA from 1 species